AUUGAACGCUGGCGGCAGGCCUAACACAUGCAAGUCGAACGAGUGGCGGACGGGAGAGUAAUGUCUGGGAAACUGCCUGAUGGAGGGGGAUAACUACUGGAACCGGUAGCUAAUACCGCAUACCAUCGGAUGUGCCUAGAUGGGAUUAGCUAGUGGGGGGGGUAAAGGCUCACCUAGGCGACGAUCCCUAGCCGGUCUGAGAGGAUGACCAGCCACACUGGAACUGAGACACGGUCCAGACUCCUACGGGAGGCAGCAGUGGGGAAUAUUGCACAAUGGGCGCAAGCCUGAUGCAGCCAUGCCGCGUGUGUGAAGAAGGCCUUCGGGUUGUAAAGCACUUUCAGCGGGGAGGCGUUACCCGCAGAAGAAGCACCGGCUAACUCCGUGCCAGCAGCCGCGGUAAUUC
rnacentral:rRNA from 1 species